GCGCAGAUAUUUACCAGGUCGCUGAUGAGCUGUUCCAGCAGGGUGGGCGCCCUCUGAGGGGAUCCGGCCUUGUCGGUCACAGUUCCGGGCACCGGCCUCUCCUGCAGCAGGCUCUCCGCCAGUGCCAGUUUUUGGAAUACGGCCACUGCAGUUUUUGAGCCAAAGUCAGAAGUGGAUCCAAAAGGGAGGAGAAGUACAAGUCCUACCAAGGUCAGAAGUGGAUCCAUAAGGGAGGAGAAGUACAAGUCCUACCAAAGCUCUUACAGUGAGAGUAGACUUUUGGGUAAUAAAUAUUAACCCCUUACACUAUAUUUCUGUGCAAUAUGUUGUAGCACAGAAAGCCUGUCUGUCUGCUGAUCCUGUCCAUCUACAAGCAGUGGGGCUAUGUAACUGUCUAGAUGAGAGUUAAAAUGAUCUACUUAACCUUCAAGCAAGUAGAACUUCUGGAUCAAUAGUCUAACAGAUGGACUUAUGUCUGGCAUGGCACAGAAGGAGACUAACAGGACGUGGCAAGAUGGCAGAAGCACAAGUUGAUAUAUUUGUUAUUGGCAAACUGCAAACCCAUUGGACGAUCCAAGGCCAUCUUGUGAUGACAUCAGUUCCUCACUGUCUCUGCCUCCGGAUGUCUAUUAUGCACCAACUGCUGCAUUAAAAGUCUUCACUGCUGUAUGGUUAGGAAGUAUGGUGUCCUCGUGAUGAGGAGACAUUGAAGCCAUUGGUGCCUGAUGAUGAAGAGGAUAUUCCUGUGCUAAACAUGAAGUGCAGAUGAAGGAGCAGUUCUAAGAAUUGGCUUUGAAGGCUGAUGAUGGUUGAGCUUCAGUGCAUGCAAUGAACAUUCAACCUUACUAUCCUCUGAUAAUGGGAAGGGGCAGCAUUUCAGUAGGUAGCUGCCACUAGCCAGCAAUGUCUGGGAGAAUGUGCAAUGGCCUGAUUAUAAUGUGUGCAGUGUGGUGACGCUCUCCUGGAGAGCAAUAAGCUAAACCCAUAGUGUCCCGGUCAUAACAAUACCACUAGACACUACAGGGUUGCGACUACUUCCCGACUGAGAAGUUUGUUUGCAGAUGUGUGGAUUUUUUAAAAGUUUGUCUAAUACAAAGAAUGUGUAGAAUAUAUUGUAAGUACCUACUAGAGUCUAUUUAUUGUACAUAAGGCAUUCCUCUUUUCAACCUCUUUAAACACUUUUCUGUACCAUUAACGGCAGUGUCAUUUUUUUACAUUUAUAUUGAUCUGUUUUAUUGCUUGUGUGAAGGCAAAAUUUACUUGUCAACUGAUUUAUUAUCUUUAUUCGAAAAAAAAAAAAUCAAGGAAAACUAUUACUUAAGGUUUAUCGUGUUCAUUUAUCUCUAUCUGCUACAGCCUUAAUGGUUGUAGGUGCUGUAAGGGUGAUUUACUACAACCUUGUCAUUAUUCAGCCGAGCUCGGAGAUCUGGCUCUUGCUUGAAGUACAGAGUAAUAAACAAGAAGCCUCAUUUUUGGUCAACUACGGUUAACCAGCGCAGUGUGUGCAAACCAAAUCAGCUAUUUCUUUUUUUACAACAAAACUCUUGUACCUUGUUUACAUGUAAAUUUUUAACCUUAUGAUCAAGUAUAAUGUUUUCAGAUGAUGUUUUAUUGAAGAGGUGUAUAUGUAAAUAAAUGGUCAAACAGGCACUUACCUAAGUCAGUGUGUGAAAUAACUUGAUCCUUUGAAUAGCACAUGGCUCAAGUUUCUCUAGACUAGAGGUUCAUGUGCUUACUCACAAAGGAUCUUUUUAGAUUGUAUCCAGUAAAACUUAAUUUCUUGGACUGAUGUCACCUCUAAACUGAUACUCACAUCUUCUCAUGAAUCAGGAAUGUAUACCAUGAAACAGUAAAGAACACAUUCUUUGUCACCAGUAAUUUUACUUUACUUUAUGCUUGAGUACCUUCACAGUUGUUUGAGGACCUUCACAGUUGUUUGAGGACCUGCACAGCUGUUUGAGGACCUUCACAGUUGUUUGAGGACCUGCACAGCUGUUUGAGUACCUUCACAGUUGUUUGAGUACCUGCACAGCUGUUUGAGGACCUUCACAGUUGUUUGAGGACCUUCACAGUUGUUUGAGUACCUGCACAGCUGUUUGAGGACCUUCACAGCUGUUUGAGUACCUGCACAGUUCUUUGAGGACCUUCACAGUUGUUUGAGGACCUUCAUAGUUGUUUGAGGACCUGCACAGUUGUUUGAGGACCUUCACAGUUGUUUGAGAACCUGCACAAUAGUUUGAGUACCUGCACAGUUGUUUGAGUACUUGCACAGCUGUUUGAGUACCUGUACAGUUGUUUGAGUACCUGCACAGUUGUUUGAGUACUUGCACAGCUGUUUGAGUACCUGUACAGUUGUUUGAGUACCUGCA